GGAAAGCUUUGUCUAUCAUAUCAUUGUGUUGGCAUCUGCUGCUUGAGGUAGACUUCUUCAGUUAUCUUGUAAUGAAGCCAGUGAGUUAUUCAUCACAUAUUACUUUUGCUGCCUCAACUAAUACUGGUAUCAUGACAUGAUAUGUGCUGGGCCCUGUGCGUGCCCGGGCGCUAAUGUAACUUAUGCUUCCUAAAAAUAUAGUUGGCAUUUCUUUCCAAAUUAAUUUAGUGGCAUUGUAAAAAUAUUUCAAACUUAAUCUAGUGAAUUCACAUGAGUUAUAAA